ACCGGGAUAGCUCAGCUGGCCGAGCACCCGAUUCAUGCUCGGGAGGUCGUCCGUUCGAUCCGGACUCCCGGUACCA
rnacentral:tRNA from 1 species